AGGGGGGGUGGGGGCAGCGGCGCGAGAGCGGCUCCCCGGACCGUCUGACUGUUUUCAAAAGCGGCGGCGUUCGGAAGCGGAGAGGAGCGGCCGUUGCGGAGAGCAAUGGUGGCCGGAGGGCGGCCGGAGCGACUCCAAUCGCGCAAGGCGGCGAGGUGAAUUUUGGGAUCGCAGAAGCAGCGUGAGUGGGAAAUCAACUUUGCUGGCGAGUGAACCUCGAUAGGAAAAGCAGCUGCGUCACACUUCUAUACUGCCACGAAUACUUGGUUGUCCAAUACAAAAAUGUACAAACGUUUUUGUAAAUCCUGUGAGGAAGCACAGGGACAGCACUUCUCAUUUUCAUUCUGUCGCUCAGAUAGAAUUGUACUCUAUCCAGAUGACUUUCAUGAAGAAGGUGUGCUGUUGUUUUGCUGCAUUUGCUGAUACACAGUUAACCAUGUUUGCGAGUACACCAUUGAUGAGCACAUGAAAUCUCGGAAACAUUGUGAAUGCAAGGCAGCGGCAAUAAGGAAAAAAGGUGGAUGUGGACCUCAAAGACAACUUGCUCUGACAACUUGCUUCUUUAGAGCCACUGCAUUAUCUAUGGAGAGAAAAUAAUUCAUAUUGGGCUUUGUGCAGUGUUUGACUAGAGCAGACAUGCUGCUUGAAAAAGCUCCUGUCUUCCAAGAGUUUCUAUGCAAGAACAUGAAACAGGAAGGGACUAUUUCAACAUCAUCACAGCUUCGUCAUACAUACUUGAAGGAGCUUAUUCCUGAGCAUGAAGAAACAUGUUGAAGAUACGGAUGUAGGUUAGCAGCAAAAUGUGUCUCUCAGUAGCACCAAUUAGCCCUCCGCAAUUUUCCACAAAAUGCUAAAAUCAUCCCUGCAAUGCCCCGCAAAAUUUGCAAAGAGCUCCACAACUUUGUGCAAAUAUUUACACACUUUUCUAUUGCUUCAGAUAAUGAGCCAUUGCCACUGGCUUGCAUUCAAGGGGCUACUAAAUCCAAAAAUAAUUCCCUAUCAUUUUAAUGCAUUCAAUCUUAUUUUUAAAUUGUGGUUUCUCUGCGCCAUGGAUCUAUUAUGUUUCAUAUAUAAACUUGAGUUCAGAAUGAAUUACAUGUACCUUUAAUUGUGAGAUUGACCAUCAAUGAAAAUGAUUGGUUGUUAAAUAAUAAAUAAUAUUC